rnacentral:rRNA from 1 species
UACGGGAGGCAGCAGUGGGGAAUAUUGCACAAUGGGCGAAAGCCUGAUGCAGCUAUGCCGCGUGUAUGAAGAAGGCCUUAGGGUUGUAAAGUACUUUCAUCGGGGAGGAAAAAACAAAACUAAUAAUUUUAUUUCUUGACGUUACCCGAAAAAGAAGCACCGGCUAACUCCGUGCCAGCAGCCGCGGUAAUACGGAGGGUGCUAGCGUUAAUCAGAAUUACUGGGCGUAAAGAGCACGUAGGUGGUUUUUUUAAAGUCAGAUGUGAAUCCCUGGGCUUAACCUAGGAACUGCAUUUUGAAACUGAAAUACUAGAGUAUCGUAGAGGGAGGUAGAAUUCUAGGUGUAGCGGUGAAAUGCGUAGAUAUCUGGAGGAAUACCUGUGGCGAAAGCGGCCUCCUAAACGAAUACUGACACUGAGGUGCGAAAGCGUGGGGAGCAAACAGGAGUUAGAUACC